rnacentral:rRNA from 1 species
CCUACGGGUGGCUGCAGUCGGGAAUAUUGGACAAUGGGGGCAACCCUGAUCCAGCCAUGCCGCGUGUGUGAAGAAGGCCCUCGGGUUGUAAAGCACUUUCAGUGAGGAAGAACGCCUGGUGGUUAAUACCCAUCAGGAAAGACAUCACUCACAGACGAAGCACCGGCUAACUCCGUGCCAGCAGCCGCGGUAAUACGGAGGGUGCGAGCGUUAAUCGGAAUUACUGGGCGUAAAGCGCGCGUAGGUGGCUUGAUAAGCCGGUUGUGAAAGCCCCGGGCUCAACCUGGGAACGGCAUCCGGAACUGUCAAGCUAGAGUGCAGGAGAGGAAGGUAGAAUUCCCGGUGUAGCGGUGAAAUGCGUAGAGAUCGGGAGGAAUACCAGUGGCGAAGGCGGCCUUCUGGACUGACACUGACACUGAGGUGCGAAAGCGUGGGUAGCAAACAGGAUUAGAUACCCCUGUAGUC